GGAUGUGAGCGCGAUCUGGCUGCGACAUCUGUCACCCCAUUGAUCGCCAGGGUUGAUACGGCUGAUCUGGCUGGCUAGGCGGGUGUCCCCUUCCUCCCUCACCGCUCCAUGUGCGUCCCUCCCGAAGCUGCGCGCUCGGUCGAAGAGGACGACCUUCCCCGAUAGAGGAGAGGACCUUUCUUCGGUCAAGGGUAUACGAGUAGCUGCGCUCCCCUGCUAGAACCUCCAAACAAGCUCUCAAGAAAUUACAGAUUAACUUAAAGUGAAGGAUCUACUUUUGCAAUUUGAUAGUUGUUCUUU
rnacentral:snRNA from 1 species